rnacentral:lncRNA from 1 species
GUCAUUCCGGGGCCGCUGGGGGCCUGGCUGGCGGCCUGUGGGGAUCUGGGGAUAAGUCAGUCUGUACCUUGGGGGGUUUGCACUCAUCUUUCCUCGCCCCCUCAGGACCCAGGGAGCUGGGAGGAUGUAGAAGCAGACCGAGCGCCUACUACGUGCCUGGCUCAGGGUCGGGCUGGGGUACGAGUGUAAAAACGCCGGGUGUUUCGCUGCGGCUGGGAGGUUUGGAUGCAGCUGCGCUAUUUUGGCGUUGCCUUGUCAAAACGGAAAAUUGCUUUGAUUAUCAAGUGAACUGUACCCCAGACACC